UACCAACAUCUUCAGAUGUUUUGAUGAUUGGAGUGAUUACAGGACUCAGUGGUGCAUUUCUGCUAAUUUUGUUACUGGUCCUGCAGUUCUGCUGCAGACGCAACAAAGGUGAAGGAUCUCCGUCUCCAUCUACAGACCAUCAGCUGCAGAACAUCAGUCAGACAUCAGAGCAUCAGAGGAACAAUGGACAAACACCAGCGUGCUCCAACGCUGUAACUGGGCCUCCGUCUGUGACCUAUAUGAAUGUUGGCCUGAAAUCAUUGGAGGAAAUGAGGAAGAAAAAUAAAG